CACAAAACCUCGCAAUCUCGUUAUUUUAUAUCAUUUCUGCCGGCUCUCGUUCCUUCCGCCUCCCUUUGCUCCGUAGCGAGGGGAACAAUGUCGCAGGACAAGGGUCGGCCCUUACCCAAGUUCGGUGAGUAGGAUGUUAACGAUCCUGCUUCCGCAGAGGGAUUCACCGUGAUCUUCAAUAAGGCUAGAGAUGAGAAGAAGACAGGUAGCAAUGCGCGAGAAACAGAUUCUCCCGGAAAGGAGGAGACAGCUUUUAGAAACGAACCUUAUGCUACCAAGCCUAGUACGAAGAAAUGGUUUUGCUGCAUGCAAGCAUCAGCUGAAACUUGAUGGCCGGGGCUUAUGAUUUAUAUAAGGUACCAGACAGACUUGUAGCGUUUGGAGUUCCUUUGGAUGUUUCUAUCAGAAUUAGCAUCACAGGGAAGACGUUCCACGGGGACUGGGGAAGGUGGAAAACCAUGGCUAUCGUUUCACCACUCUGUAUGAAAUUGCCACCGGAGGAUAUAUCAAUCAUAAACUAAGCUUGCAAUUUUUUUUUUAUUCUAUCUAUUGUCCCAUAAUUUUAUCA